rnacentral:rRNA from 1 species
GUUUAUUUGAAGUUAUAUAUAAUUUGGCCUGCCCCCUGAUUAUUAGUUAAAGGGCCGCAGUAUUAUAACUGUGCAAAGGUAGCAUAAUCAUUAGGUUUUUAAUUGAAAUCUCGUAUGAAUGGUCGGACAAAAGAAAAGCUCUCUUUAUAUUAAUUUUUGAAUUUAACUUUUAAGUGAAAAGGCUUAAAUAUACUAAAGGGACGAUAAGACCCUAUAAAACUUUACAUUGUAAUUAUAUUUUAGUAAAUUUAUAAAUAAAGAUUAAAUUUGAUUAUUUGUUAGGCUGGGGAGGUACGAAUAAAUAUUAUUUUAACUGUUUGAUGAUUAUACAAUUAUUAGUGGGUAAGUAAAAGAUCCUUAUUUCAAGAUUAAUAGAUUAAGUUACUUUAGGGAUAACAGCGUAAUUUCUUUUGAGAGUUCUUAUCGAAAGAGAAGAUUGCGACCUCGAUGUUGAAUUAAAAUAUUCUAUAUAAUGAAGAGGUUAUAUAAGAAGGUCUGUUCGACCUUUAAAAUUUUACAUGAUUUGAGUUCAAACCGGUGUGAG